rnacentral:tRNA from 1 species
GAGGUUGUGGCUUGGCGGUACAGCACUCGCCUCUCAUGUGUGAGACUCUGGGUUCAAUCCUCAGAACCACA